UCCCUGGAGCACAGCAGUCCGCCCACUGCCCAUUCCGUCCCCUGACACAGCCGCACCACCACCAGCAAUCUCCAGGCCCCCUGGCCCCCGCUAUGGGGCAGAUUUCCUCUAGCGUGAGCCUCGAGCGGUGACAGCCCUUAGCACGCUUUCCCGUGUUAUGUCUGGUUCUUUUCCACCUGAUGAACUUCUCGACCUCAGGGGCCCAGCUUCUCACCUGUUUACCCCUCUACCCCAACACCUGGCACCAGUCAGGGCGCCGUCCCGCCUCCCACGUCCCAAGUCUCACUCAGCCUGAAUUGAGUUAUUAGUUAUUCUGCUGCAUAAAGUCGCAAUUUCCUUUCCCCUCUCUCAUUUUGAGGAUCCAGCCUUUUCAUGUGGCUAGACCACCACCUGGUGAAAUCCAGCUCCGCCCGCUCCACCCCUCAUCCUAAGCGCCAAAGGUGUUGCAGAAUAAACCAGCUAACCCGCCCCGUGUCACUAGAUAUUCAUGACCCCUGACUAGGGUGGACCCUUACUGCUGCCGGCAAUCAUAUUCCACUUCCCGUCUCUUCAGUCUGCAUCUCUCCUAGACGACUAUUUCAUACCUUUCUCCCAAAACCUACGACACCCCUUCGCCAUCCCCACCCUCAGUUUGCCUCCUAUAUACUGAGUAGAGAACUUCCUCAGGCUUCCAGCCUCCUAAGCCCCAUCAGUAUUGUGUGCAGAUCCUUUGCCUUCUCUCCUGUUAUCAUGAAUGAAUCAUCAGUACCCCUAAGACCCCUGGGCGCCCAGGCAGAGGUCCUACCCUUCCCACCCACUCACUGACUAGUCUGAGGCUGUCCUCUCCCCACCUUAAAGGUGCGCCUCGUCUAGCUGGCCUGGGUUAUCUUCUCCUGGGUCUGCUGCUCUGCCUGGGUGACUCUGCCCUGGUGACUCUGCCCACCGUCAUAAUGAGGGGGACACUUGCUUUCUCUCCAACAUCCAGACCCCCUUCCUCCCUCUUAGCAGAACCCGACUGCUCAGAUACCACCCCCAGCCCCAGCUCCAGUGGAUCCUGAUCUAGUUGAGCCCGUCUCCCGGCAACAGCUAUUGGUCUAGUGAUGGGCAUAUGUCCUGAGUUGUUGUCCCAGAGGGACAGACUUAGACUCUGUGAAUGGACUAGCCCAACUCCCUCUCCUGCUUCACGAAAAUAAGGAAGCACGUAGAUCCCACUGCUGCCCAGCUCUAGGAUGCGGCAGACACCAAGGAUGGCAGACCAGAGAGAAAAAUGGAGUCUACCUGGGUCCAGGAUGGCUGGGGAGCUCUACACUCUAUAUGCCCAGAGCCCACCAGGUCUCUGGAUCAUACUGGGGCCUAGGACUCAAUGGGGCUUCCUCCCCUGGGGACUUGUAUCAGGAACGAAGAUCACUUUAAGACUGUUCAUUAUUAAAUUCUCUUUGAGGCAGGAUUUCACUUACCUGCAGCCUAAACCAUCCUUACUGACACCCAUGACUUUGGUAUCGUCUAUGUGCCCAGAGCAUCCGAAUGCCUCCACUGAGGCAUUUCUACCUCCACCCUCUCCUGCUGGGCCUCUGCAGGACUCCCUUAACUGUCACCUCACGGUCACUCUGGUCACCUCUGGUCCACUAUCCACACUGGAGCCAGGAGAUCUUAAAACAAAUAUGAUCAGGUCACUCCCCUGCUGAAAACCCCUCAGAGGCCUCCCGUGCUCUUGGGAUAAAGCCCGGAUCCCUUACCUCUGCCCACAGGGGAAGGCCACUCGGCCCUCACUCUCUGAGCUCCAACUCCAGUGGCUUCUCCGUUUCUGGAACGUGCUGAGCUCCCUCCCAAUUCCGAGCUCUGCUGUCGCCUCUGCCUGCACCUGCCUUCCCCUCACUCUUUACAGGGUCACCCUCAUUCAUCCUUCAGGCCUCAGCUUAAAAUCCCUUCCCCAGGGCAGCCGUCUCUGACUUCCUGGUUGGGUCCCUCUGGCUGGACAGCAGCACUUGUCCUUCCUAGCACUUGUCACUAUUGUAAGGAAUAACUAAUUAUUUGUUUGAUGUCUGGUUAGACUGUGGAGUCACUCAGUGAGGGGAGAGACCAAGUCGGUCUCAGUCAGCCAGGGAUUCCCAGCGCAUCGUCAGGGCUGGCCUGGGCUUGAUGUUGUGGGCACUGUGCUGUGCUCCCCAGGGUCCCUUGUAUCUGGUGAGGAGGCUAAACCAGUGGUUCUCAAAGAGGACAGUACUGCCCUCUAGGGGGAAUUCUGGAUAUGCUGAUUUGGGAGACUUUUUACUGUCACAGUGACUUGCGGCUUUGUUCCUUUCCCCCACAUACCACACCCUGCCCCUUACUCCUGCUCUAAUCCAUCAGAGGCAGCACAGGAAAUCUGUAAGGGGCAUAUCUAAUAUUUCCAGAGGAACAUUCCAAGGUCCUAAUGUCUGGGGCCUUGUUUUUUCCCAAGGCCUGACAUAGGGGUCCAAGGAGCAAACAAACCUCGCCCCUCUGCUCAGUGACGUCAACCUUGAGAUGAACACUCUGCAUGUGAGUUUACAUGAUUCCUCCAGGGCACGUUUGCCCAAGUCCAGAACCUUCCAGGAGUAUGGAUGGUCCAAUGCAUCCUUCUACCCUCUCACAUCACAUUCACUAAAGAAUGUGUCCCACAGAUAUCCCAAACCAACCAGGGGGGUUGACGGGGCACCUGCGUGUCCACUGAGGGUGCAGAAUGCACAGGUAGGAGUGAUUAUGGCUACGGCCAUAAUCACAUGACUUCCCGGGAAGAGCAGCCCCAUAGUGGGCACAAUCAGGUGGUCCUGAACUUCUGUCCCAGUCUGUGUGAACUGAGGCAUGGCCUUGACCUUUCAGAGUCUGUUUCUGCUUCUGUGAAAUCAAGAGAAUGAUAGUUGGCAGCGGUGUAGGGAGGACAAUGCCAAACCCUAGCUCCUCCAGCACGCGCAGUGCCUGGCUGCACAGUAGGUGUACAAUGGCUGUUAGCACCCUUCCUGCUAACAUUUCCCUCUAGUGAACCAGUCUAGGAAAGGACUAGCAUGCAGGCAGCAGAGAAAGAGAUGGCGUUUGGCCUGGGGAGAGGGACUGAGAAGGUUUGUGGGCUUGGGGAGUCACCAGAGGGAUUUGUCCCAAGAAAGACCUAUCACCAUGGUCAGGGCCAUGGCCAGCUAUCAGGCAAGUGGACAAAUGCCUUUGCUCCAGGAGGAGCAGCCAGAGGAGACAGGACCAGCGCCCCAGGGGGCAGAGGGGAUGACCACUCAGCCCAUUGUGCCCAGUCUGGUAGGACAGUGGAUGGACAAACAGAGCUGAUGCUAGGACUGGCCAGGCAAAAAUACAUUAAAAGGCUUCUUGGAUGUGUGCAGUGAUUUCUUAGUACAUGUACAAUACAUGUGAACUAUAAUUAUAAUUAUAAUAAAUACAUGUAUAGUUACAUAUAAUAAUGAUAAUUAUAGUUCACAUGUAUUGAGUGCCAGGCACUAUUCAAAGUGCUUUAAAUGAAUUAACACAUAAACUCUUCAGAAUCAUCCCUCCAAAGCGGGUACUAUUAUCAUCAACACUUUACAGAUGAGGAAACUGAGAUACAGAGUAGUUAAGCAACCUGCCUAAAGACACACAGCUGGAAAGUAGCAGAGCUGGGAUUCCAAAUCCAAGAUCCCAGGCAGUGUGGGUUCAAAGCCAAUACUCUGAGCUACCAUCCUUCUCUCCCUCUGGUUUGAUGCUCUCAUCCCUCUGGAAUGUGACCAAGGCUGCCAGCCAUCUGCACUCCUGAGCCCCUCCACACAACUUCAGGCUGGACUGGCUAAGCCCGGGGUUUUUACUGCCCCCUUUCUGGAGGCCCCAGGGUCCCUGCCACACCCACUGCAGGCUGCCCACCUCAGUGCCCCAUGACCCAUCACUCUGGCCUCAGCUUCUCAGACCCUGAGCAGCCACCAGAGGCCUGUGAGAUGGACUGGCAGGAGGGUACUGCCUAGAGGGAGCAUCGUGGACCAACUGGUGACUGAUGGGUCCCGUGAGGUCCAGACAGAGCGAUGCAGAAGAGCAGAGACCAUCUGAGAUAAGAAAGCAUCCUCCAGACCAGAGAGUGAAAAGGAGGAUGUCUGCCUGGGUCAGAGAGGGCGUGAGUGGCAGGAGGGACAAUGUGUGAGACACGGCAGGAUGUGAGCGGGCAACGUGCAGACUGAGACUGCACUUCUGGGUGUGAGCCAGACCUGGGUUCCGACCCUGCCCCUCCACCUUUUACUGCUUGUGUCUUGUAAAUCAGAGCUAAAACCAGAGGGAGCUGGUAGAGCAGUUAAAGACAGGGUUCUGGGGCCAGAGUGCGUGGGCUGGAACCCCGACUCCACCACUUACCAGCAUGUAACUUAACCUGUUUGUGCUGCAGUUUUCCCGUCUAUAAAAUGGGGGUGAUAAGAGUUGCUACCAUAUGCUGCUGCUAGGAGGACUCGGUGUCUGCAUGCAAGUGCCUGGUACGAAUUAUAACUGGAACAUGAUACAGCUCAUAUGAAAUGGGUUCUAUUUAGAACAGUGCCUAGCACCUAGUAAGCAUGGUAUCAGUUAAAUAUAUCUCUUUCAUAGGAUUGUUGUGGGGUUUUAAAGAAACAGGAUCUGAAAAUGGUACAUUGUUUGUGCUUAAUGAAUGCCCAUUCUCUCUCCUCGGGAUGAAUACACAUGUUCAAAAUCAGAGUCUUCUGUCUUUUAGUGAUUCGUCUUACUCCCGGCAGUCUCGCAUCCCCCACCCACUUUGCCUCAGCCCCAUGCUGGGUACCCCAAGCACGGCCCUCCCCUCUCUGGCUCGGGCCAGAGUGCCUGGUGGUGUGGGCAGCAUAUGGUAUGCUUUCCAGAGCAGUUUGUUAUUCAUGCACCAUGGUUGCUGAGAACAACAGAGGGCACUGAUGAUGGGGGUGGGGGCGUGCUUUGGCCACUGUGUGACGUUAGCCAGGCCCCUGCACUUCUCUGGGCCUAUUUGCUCAUCUACAAAAGGAGAUAAUAUCCCUGCCCUUUGGCCUCACAAAGCUGCUGUGAGCAUGAAAUGAAUUUAUGCGUGUCCGCAAGAGUCAUGAGGUCUCAUUAUGGGAUAUUAUAAUCAGGUAGCCAGAGAAGGGGUUUUAUGGCCCCCAAACUUAAAGGGUCUGGGGAGGCCAGAUCCAGGCCAGCGGGUGAGGGAAGUCUUCCCAGAAGGGUGUUUGGCUCUGAGUAGUGCGUCCCUAAGGCCAGAGCCUUCCGUGUAAUCAUUCACCUAACUGGCGCAGGCUGGGAGAAGGAGGGUGAGCAGGCCUGAAUGCCACAGGGAGGCCAAAUUUGGACAUGGGUUAGAGCUUGGCUAACGCAGCAGGUGGACUGUGGCCAGAGCUGGAGGAGGGAGGGCCUGCAUUCCCCAUGGCCGCCUGGCAGUGACUGUGAUGACUGGGAGUGGGGGCUUCAGCCAGCCCCCUCUGUAGGCUGCAGGCCACCCCUGGGUCCCAAGCCUGGCCUGGGUCGGGGGAUCAUGAAGGAUGGGGCAAGUGUGUAUGUGUUCAGAAUUAUGGUCGGGAUUAGACCAGGAAAGAAGAGGGAGUGGAGAAUAUGAGGAGUCAGAGCUGUGAUGUCACCCAGAAAAUUCCUGGGAAGACAAGCUCUCCGGUACAUAGUUGUGGGACGCUGCCUCAGCGUGGUUUGAUGAGCAGUGCCAUGUCUGCGCCCAGGAUUCGAACUGACGAAACACUGGGCUGCCUGCAGCAGAGCGCGAGAACGUAACCACUCGGCCACGGGGCCAGCCCCAUCCAUGGUCUGAAUUUUUAAUUUAAGGUGUGAAGGUCAAGGUUCUUACUUUGCUGGUGGAUGUCCAUUUAUUCCGGCACCACUUAUUUUUAAAAAGGCUACUCUUUGAUUGAAUUGUCUUUGCUCCUUUAUAAAUAAUUAAUUCUGUAUAUUUGUGUGGAUCUAUUUUCAGGUUUUCUAUUCUGUUCCACUAAUCUAUGUGUCUUUCCCUCUGCCAGUACCACACUCUCUUGAUUACUGCACCUAUAUACUAAGCCUUAACACUAGAAAAUGAUUCUUCCCACUUUAUUCUUCUUUUUCACCAAUGUUUUGGCUAUUCUAGGGCUUUUCCCUUCCGAUAUAAACUUUAGAAUAAGUUUGUCUAUGUCUACAGAAAAACUUGCUGGGAUUUUGACAGGAAGUGCAUUAAACUUAUAGAACACUUUCGGGGAGAAUUAAUAUCUUUACUAUGUUGAAUUUCUCAAUCCAUGAACAUAAUAAAUCUCUCCAUUUAUUUAGGUCUCCCUUAACUGCUUUCACCAGUUCUUUAUAAUUUUCAUUAUACAGAUCCUAUACAUGUUUUGGUGCAUUUAUACCUAAGUAACUUUCUUUGGAGCAAUCUAAAUGGUAUUGCAAUUAAAAAAUUUUUGGUUUCCACUUGUUUGUUGUCAGUAAAUAGAAAAUACAAUUGACUUUUGUGUUGAUCCUGUAUCUUACUGAACUCACUUAUUCUAGGAGUUUUGUUGUAGAUUCCUUAAAGAUUUUUAUGUAGAUAAUCACGUCAUCCGCAAAUAGAGAUAGUUUUAUUUCUUCUUUCCAAUCUGUAUGCCUUUUAUUUUUUUUUCUUGCAGUGGCUAGAAUUUGCAGUACUACAUUGAAUAGCAGUAGUGAGAGUAAACAUCCUUUCAUUGUUCCUGAUCUCAGAGGGAAAGCAUUCAAUCUUUCAACAUUAAGCAUGAUGCUGGCUGUAGAUUUUUUUUCGGUAGAUCCUCUUUAUGAGAUUGAGGAAGUUCCCCUCUAUUUUUAGUGUACUGAGAGUUUUUACAAUGAAUGGGUGUUGAAUUUUGUCAAAUGCCUUUUCUGAAUCAAUUGAUAUCAUUCGGUUUUUUCUUUGUUAGGCUACUGAUAUGGUGGAUUACAUUGAUAUAUAUUUUUUUUCUUGAGGAAGAUUAGCCCUGAGCUAACUGCUGCCAAUCCUCCUCUUUUUGCUGAGGAAAGCUGGCCCUGAGCUAACAUCCAUGCCCAUCUUCCUCUACUUUCUAUGUGGGACACCUACCACAGCAUGGCUUGCCAAGCGGUGCCAUGUCCACACCCGGGACCCAAACCAGCGAACCCCAGGCCGCCGAAGCAGAAUGUGCGCACUUAACCGAUGUGCCACUGGGCCGGCCCAUACAUUGAUAUUCUAAUAUUGACACAGCCUUGUACAGCAGGAAUAAAUCCCUCAUAACGAGUCAAGUGUUCACUCUUCUUUUUUCUGGAAAAGACUGUAUAGAUCAACUCUUUGAAUGUUUCAUAAAAUUCUCCAGUGAAACCAUCUGGGCUUGGAGAUAUCAUUUUUGACAGUAUUUUAUAAUCACAAAUUCAAUUUUAGGAUUACUCAGGUUCUCUACUUCAUUUUGUCUUAGUUUUGGUGGUUUGUGAUUUUCAAGGAUUUUGUCCAUUUCUUCUAAGUUGUUGAAUUGAGCUUAGAGUUCUUCAUAGUACUCCUUUUUUAUUCUUUUAAUGACUGCAGGAUCUGUUGUAAUGUUUCCUUGUUUCAUUCCUGAUAUUAGUAGUUUGUGUCUUCUGUUAGUCUUGCUAGAGGUUUAUCAACUUUAUUUUUUGAGGGACUAGCUUUAUGUUUCAUUAACUUUGCCCUCUCAUUUUCCUCUUUUCAGUUUCAUUCAUUUCUGCUCUUUAUCAUUUCCUUCCCUCUGAUUGCUUUGGGUUUAGUUUGUUAUUCUUUUUCAAGUUGCUUGAGCUACGAACUUACUGAUUUGAGAUCUUUUAUAAUAUAAGUACACAGUGCUAUAUAAAUUUCCCUUUCAGUGUUUCAUUAGCUGUAUCUUACAGAUGUUGAUGUUUUCAUUUUCACUCAUUUCUAUGUAUUUUUCUUUUGAGACUUCUUUGACCCAUGGAUUAUUUAUAAAUAUGCUGUUUAAUUUCCAAGUGUUUGGCGGGUUUCCUAUUGUCAUUCUGUCGUUGAUUUCUAGUUUGAUUCCAUUAUAAUCAAGAGAACGUAUUCUGUAUGGUUGAAAUUCUUUGAAAUGUGUCAAGGUUUGUUUUAUAGCCCUAUGGUCUAUGUGGUAGUAUGCUCCACGGGCACAUGAAAAGAAUGUGUAUCCUGCUGUUGCUGAGUGUUUUAUAAAAGUCAAUUCGAUCCUA